GAGGCGGCAGCCCUUGCCGAUGAAGCAUUCCAUCGGGUCAAUCCGAUUCCUGGCAGCAGCUAGUGUUCAAGUACAGAAAACUCGACAAAUGAAGUUGAAUUUUACCUCAUGUCGGGUGUUCUACACUAGAAGACACCAAAAAAAGAGCAAUUAUCGGUUUGUUAAGUGUUUUGAUGGAAUCAUCCUCAUCGGAGAGCUACGAUGAAACCAACACCGUUCCUUUGACUUUGUUAACGAGGGAAGAUGCUGCCAUGGGAUUGAGUGGGUCUAGCUGGGUAGUUAAACAAGUAACGCACAGAUUAAUCUGCCAAUUGU